rnacentral:rRNA from 1 species
AGGACGAACGCUGGCGGCGUGCUUAACACAUGCAAGUCGAGCGGAAAGGCCCUUCGGGGUACUCGAGCGGCGAACGGGUGAGUAACACGUGAGUAAUCUGCCCCUAGCUCUGGGAUAGCUCCGGGAAACCGGGAUUAAUACCGGAUACGACCACCUUAGACAUCUUUUGUGGUGGAAAGAAUUUCGGCUAGGGAUGAGCUCGCGGCCUAUCAGCUUGUUGGUGGGGUAACGGCCUACCAAGGCUUUGACGGGUAGCUGGUCUGAGAGGACGAUCAGCCACACUGGGACUGAGACACGGCCCAGACUCCUACGGGAGGCAGCAGUGGGGAAUCUUGCGCAAUGGGCGAAAGCCUGACGCAGCAACGCCGCGUGGAGGACGAAGGCUUUCUGAGUUGUAAACUCCUUUCAGCAGGGACGAUAGUGACGGUACCUGCAGAAGAAGCACCGGCCAACUACGUGCCAGCAGCCGC